AGAAUUGCUUUUUGUAAUCCACUGCACCCUGGUCUUCUGGCUAUCUGGUGUUAUGAGAUUUCAGAUGAUCUAGAUCUUGUGUGUUUUCACCACUUACUUUGUGAUUCCAGAGUAGAGGAAGCAGUCUCCUGUGCUGAUGGUCAAAGGUCGGUUUCCAGACAAUGAAAAUGCUCAGAAAACUCAGGAACAUAAGAGGAACAAAAAGAAAUAUAAGAACAUCCCAAGAUACCAAGACCAUUUUCUGUCUCGUUGAUCACUCCUGUGUCAUUUCCUAACACUGUGAUGAGUGAGAGUGAUUGAAAAAAAAAGAGAGAGAGAAACGGGGAGAGAGAAAGCAAGAAAAAGCAACAAGACUCAAUUGCGUCAGUGUUUUUAUUACUGAGUUGGGUACAAGUCAGGUGAUGGACAAUCUUUUUUUCAACUUGUUGGACAUUACAAAUAAUUGUACCAUGCACAGUUGCACACAGAUAUGUGUAUAAAUACAAGUUUUAUUUUACUUGCACAAGUAGUCAGCAGUGUAACUUGCAGGUCUUAUGGUAAAUGUAAUUUUAAAUUUAAAAGCAGUAGAAAAAUAACUUAUUCCAGAACUGCUUUAACAUUUUUUGCUGCCAUGAAAAAUGUCUAACAUCUCCAGUUACUCAUAUUCUUAUCAGUGUAUUUUGUUGGCAAUUUUUGUGUUGUUUUGUGUUUUUAUUAGCCAUUGUAAUAUUUGUAUAGAUUUUUGUCAUUGUAGUUUUAAUUUGCACAUUCAUGUUGACCACAAGUAUUGAGUGUCUCUUAAUAUAUUUAUUUGUCAUUCAUACAUCUUCUUAAUGAAGUAUCCAUUGAGGAAUGUUUACAAAUUUUAUUGCACUGAGUUAUUAUUAAUGAUAUUUAAGAGUUCUUAUAUGUUCUGAAUACAACUCCUUUAAAAAUGUGAUUUGCAUACAUAUCUCAAUCCACAAUCUGGUUUUUCAUUCUCUUAACUGUUUCAUACAAAGCAAGCAUUUUCAAUUUUAAUAAAAUGCAAUUUAUUGAUUUUUUAUGUUACGAGUUGUGCUUUUAGUACCAUAGUAAACAGCUGUUAGCCUUAAAUAUAUUAUUCUUGUUUGACUGUUUUUGUUUUAGCAUGUUGAAUAUAACCUCCCACUGCUUUCUGGCCUGUAUACUUUCUUGUGAAAAGUCAGCUAUUAAUCUUACAAAAAUUACUGCAUGCAAUGAGUUGCUUUUCUCCUGCAGCUGUCAAUAAUAACUAUUUUUCAUAGGUAUCAACAGAUUGCAUAUAAUGUCUGUUAAUCUGAGUUUCUUUGUAUCUGUUGUACUUGAAAUUUGUUGUACUUCUUCAAUGUGUAACAUUUUUCAUCAAAUUUAGGAAGUGUUCCUUCCUAAGAAUAUCUAUUUGGGCAGAUUUCUUUUUCCUUUACUCUCUCUUCUGAUUCUGGUAAUUCCAUAACGAAGAUCUUUUGCCCUUUCUGUUCUUUUACCUCCUUGAUGCUCUGUUCAUUUUUCCUUAUUCAUUUUCUUCUGCAUUCUUCAUAAGGCAUUAGUACUAUUAAUGUGCAAUUUGUUAUAUUAUUUAUUCUGAUACUUGAAAUAUACUGUUGAGAUUCUCUAUUGAUUUUUUAUUUAAGCUGUUGUACUUU